GGAAGGAUCAUUGACACACAUCCUAACCGAUGCUUGUGCCAACAAGCAGACCCAGCGAACCAUUCUCCUAUCACUUGAGGGGCUGCAUCGCGAGGUGCAGCUGUCGGCGGUCGGGCCCUUGCUUCAGGGGCCGGAGUCCUUGCUGGGUUCACCGUUGCGGGUGAGCACCGGCCGUCCGACGGGGGCCGCUCUUGGGCCUCGCACACGGGAGAGUGCGGGGGCGGCGUUUCCCACUCCAGCUGUCCCUUCCGGGGCAGCUGCGCAACCAACCAAACACUAUGCAAAAACCGACUGAAGACCGAUCCUUUGCGGGCGCCUUCGGGAGCCCUGCCUCGGAUCAAAACAAACUAAAGACAACUCUCAACAACGGAUAUCUUGGCUCUCGCAACGAUGAAGAACGCAGCGAAAUGCGAUACGUAGUGUGAAUUGCAGAAUUCCGUGAAUCAUCGAAUCUUUGAACGCAUAUUGCGCCCGCGGCCUCGGCCAAGGGCAUGCCUGCCUGAGCGUCAUUAUAACACCUCACAACCCUUUAGGGGAGUGGAUCUGGCCGUCCGGACUCUCGAGCCUGGUCGGCUGAAAGGCAGAUGCAAAGCCAGCAGCCCAUUCAACGGCAAGGCGUGGUAGACCGCAUCGCGGGCGAUCGUCGUGCCGGGGCUGCCUUUCGGCCUUCGCAUUAGCAGGAACCGCCGCUCCCGACGGACUUCGGUCCGAAAGGAGUGGCCUUGACCCAUUGACCUCAGAUCAGACAAGAUUACCCGCCGAAUUUAAGCAUAUUACUAAGCGGAGGAAAAGAAACUAACAAGGAUUCCCCUAGUAACGGCGAGCGAACCGGGAAGAGCCCAACUUGAAAAUCUGGCAGCUUCGCUGUCCGAAUUGUAGUCUAAAGAAGCGUCCUCUGUAGCGGACCGGGCCCAAGUUCCCUGGAAUGGGACGUCAGAGAGGGUGAGAGCCCCGUCGACCCCGGACCCUGCUACUCCACGAGGCGCUGUCGCCGAGUCGGGUUGUUUGGGAAUGCAGCCCUAAAUGGGUGGUAAAUUCCAUCUAAGGCUAAAUACUGGCGAGAGACCGAUAGCGAACAAGUACCGCGAGGGAAAGAUGAAAAGAACUUUGAAAAGAGAGUUAAAAGUGCUUGAAAUUGUUGAGGGGGAAGCGAAUGGAAGCAGAGGUGCGCCUCGGUUUUAUGUGGGGGUUCGCGCCCCCGCCUAUCAACGCGAGGCGCUGGUCAGCGUGGGUUAGCCUGGCGGGAAAAAAGCAGGGGUUGUUACCCUGUCCAUAUCGCCGGGCUGACCGAGGUCUGAAGGGCGCGCUUCGGCGAGCUUCGGCAUCUGCGCCCUCAGGACGCUGGCUCAAUGCUUCCAUCCGGCCCGUCUUGAAACACGGACCAAGGAGUCUAACAUGUAUGCGAGCCGGUGGGUGGCAAACCCAUGAGGCGCAAGUAACCUGAUUGGUGGGAUUCCUUUUGGAUGCACCAUCGACCGACCAUGAUCUUCUGUGAAAGGUUUGAGUAGGAGUAUACCUGUUGGGACCCGAAAGAUGGUGAACUAUGCCUGAGCAGGGCGAAGCCAGAGGAAACUCUGGUGGAGGCUCGUAGCGAUACUGACGUGCAAAUCGUUCGUCAGACUUGGGUAUAGGGGCGAAAGACUAAUCGAACCAUCUAGUAGCUGGUUCCCUC
rnacentral:misc_RNA from 1 species